AGAGGCUUGUUCCCUUGGCAACGAAUGGUCAAGCAGUUUCCUUUGGCUCGGUGAUUAAACUCUUCAGGCAAUUCUCUUCCAGGUAAACAAGCAUAGCCGUUGACAAAGUCUCUAGGGCCGUAAAACGAUCGUUGGAUAAUUGAUCUUCUUGCUUCUUGGCUCAGUUUGAAGCAGUUGGAGAAAUUGAGAUGCGCAUAUUUACAGUUAAAACGGUGAGGCACCCGUUUGAGCGACUCGCAACAGUCAGCAUUAAUGAACAUGAACUCACUAGAAAACUCUGGCAAUGAUUCGAGUUUUUUGCAGUCGUUUAGAUGGAGACCGAAACGCAUGACUUGUGUUGAUGUCUUGAGAGACCAAUUCCCUUCUUCUAGUUUUGUGUCUGAGCCAUAGCGUUUUGUGGACAUAAAUGGUAUGUUUCUCAAUCGGGAGCACCCUACCAAAUUGAUUGAAUUAAUAGAUGCCAAGUUCAUGUCAGCUGGAAUGACUUCUAGGUUUUCGCAGAACAUCAUUGCUAAAUCGUCAAGUUUAUGAAGAUUUGAAAAAGAAGAAGGAAUCUCUACCAAACUCGUGCAACCGGAC
rnacentral:lncRNA from 1 species